GGGGACCAUCCUCCAAGGCUAAAUACUCCUGACUGACCGAUAGUGAACCAGUACCGUGAGGGAAAGGCGAAAAGAACCCCGGCGAGGGGAGUGAAAAAGAACCUGAAACCGUGUACGUACAAGCAGUGGGAGCACCCUUUGGGGUGUGACUGCGUACCUUUUGUAUAAUGGGUCAGCGACUUAUAUUCUGUAGCAAGGUUAACCGAAUAGGGGAGCCGUAGGGAAACCGAGUCUUAACCGGGCGUUAAGUUGCAGGGUAUAGACCCGAAACCCGGUGAUCUAGCCAUGGGCAGGUUGAAGGUUGGGUAACACUAACUGGAGGACCGAACCGACUAAUGUUGAAAAAUUAGCGGAUGACCUGUGGCUGGGGGUGAAAGGCCAAUCAAACCGGGAGAUAGCUGGUUCUCCCCGAAAGCUAUUUAGGUAGCGCCUCGUGAAUUCAUCUCCGGGGGUAGAGCACUGUUUCGGCUAGGGGGCCAUCCCGGCUUACCAACCCGAUGCAAACUGCGAAUACCGGAGAAUGUUAUCACGGGAGACACACGGCGGGUGCUAACGUCCGUCGUGAAGAGGGAAACAACCCAGACCGCCAGCUAAGGUCCCAAAGUCAUGGUUAAGUGGGAAACGAUGUGGGAAGGCCCAGACAGCCAGGAUGUUGGCUUAGAAGCAGCCAUCAUUUAAAGAAAGCGUAAUAGCUCACUGGUCGAGUCGGCCUGCGCGGAAGAUGUAACGGGGCUAAACCAUGCACC
rnacentral:rRNA from 1 species